AAGGUUUUAAGUUAUAUGAAAACUAUGAGCCUUCAAAGCUUAAAAUAAAGAAGAGUCUUUAAACCUUG
rnacentral:tRNA from 1 species